rnacentral:tRNA from 1 species
GAGGGUAUAGCUCAGUGGUAGAGUAUGUGCUUAGCAUCCCCAAGGUCUUGGGUUCAAUCCUCACUACCUCCA